rnacentral:rRNA from 1 species
CUGCUGCCUUCCGUAGGAGUUUGGGCCGUGUCUCAGUCCCAAUGUGGCCGGUCACCCUCUCAGGUCGGCUACUGAUCGUCGCCUUGGUGAGCCGCUACCUCUCCAACUAGCUAAUCAGACGCGGGUCCAUCUCAUACCACCGGAGUUUUUCACACCAAACCAUGCGGUCUUGUGCGCUUAUGCGGUUUUAGCAGUCAUUUCUAACUGUUAUCCCCCUGUAUGAGGCAGGUUACCCACGCGUUACUCACCCGUCCG